rnacentral:rRNA from 1 species
UUGAGAGUUUGAUUCUGGCUCAGAACGAACGCUGGCGGCAGGCUUAACACAUGCAAGUCGAACGAUAUAGUGGCAGACGGGUGAGUAACGCGUGGGAACGUACCUUUCGGUUCGGGACAACCCUGGGAAACUGGGGCUAAUACCGGAUACGCUCUACGGAGGAAAGAUUUAUCGCCGAGAGAUCGGCCCGCGUUGGAUUAGCUUGUUGGUGAGGUAAUGGCUCACCAAGGCGACGAUCAGUAGCUGGUCUGAGAGGAUGAUCAGCCACACUGGGACUGAGACACGGCCCAGACUCCUACGGGAGGCAGCAGUGGGGAAUCUUGCACAAUGGGCGAAAGCCUGAUGCAGCCAUGCCGCGUGAAUGAUGAAGGCCUUAGGGUUGUAAAAUUCUUUCGCUAGGGAUGAUAAUGACAGUACCUAGUAAAGAAGCCCCGGCUAACUUCGUGCCAGCAGCCGCGGUAAUACGAAGGGGGCUAGC